rnacentral:rRNA from 1 species
AUACGGAGGGUGCAAACGUUGUUCGGAAUCACUGGGCGUAAAGGGCGCGCAGGCGGUUUGAUUAGUCAGAUGUGAAAGCCCACGGCUUAACCGUGGAAGUGCAUUUGAAACUGUCAGACUUGAGUACUAGAGGGGAAAGUGGAAUUCCCGGUGUAGAGGUGAAAUUCGUAGAUAUCGGGAGGAAUACCGGUGGCGAAGGCGACUUUCUGGCUAGAUACUGACGCUGAGGCGCGAAAGCGUGGGGAGCAAACAGCAUUAGAUACCCUAGUAGUCC